GCUAGGCAUGGUGGUAUGUGCCUGUAGUCCCAGCUACUGGGGAGGCUGAGGUAGGAGGAUUGCUUGAGCCCAGGAAUUCUAGACUGUGGUGAGCUAUUAUUGCACCACUGCACAGCCUGGGCAACAGAGUAAGACCCUGUCUUUA
rfam:Pan troglodytes isolate Yerkes chimp pedigree #C0471 (Clint) chromosome 7, whole genome shotgun sequence.